rnacentral:rRNA from 1 species
AAGCGCUUGUGACCAGACUUGCGCCGGGCAGAUCAUCCGGUGUUCUCACCGGUGCACUCUGCCCGGCUCAGGCCAGCAUCGGUUCUCGCGGGGGGAUAAAGGCACCGGGAACGUAGCUCCUCCGGG